GUGAGGGUGUGGGGUGUGUUGACUAGCUGGGAUUAUUUCCUGACAGUGGAUAUCAAUCGUUAACAGCUGAGCAAGAUGCAACAGCUGACCAGUCCCCGCCUGUGUCGGCCGCUGCCAGGAAGGGAGUGGCAGAAGACAAUGCAGCCAGAGUACUUCAUCCUGAGCCUCCUUGUGGCAGCGCUCAUGCGUGCGUUCAAAGGAUUGCCAUUGGUUCCAUAAUGAAGACCAAAGAAUGCUACUGGCUCAGUUGAUUCAGCACAGCGGAUUGGUAGACACUUUGCACUGAAGAGUGUAACGGUGAUCUCGCCGAGGAAGGCAGCGAGGGAGAGCAAGGUGCCUGCCAGAAAGAGGAAGAGUGGGCCUUGCAUGUGAACCAGAGUAAGGGCCCUGUUUACCCGAUCCCCGGCAGACUCGUCCUUCUCCGUAGAAACACUGCUUUCUUCUGCCACCUGUCUCUGGCGCUGCUGACUGUUGAACUGUGCUCUUUCCAAAAUCUCUGUAGUCCAUCUUCCUAUUAGUCCAGCCUGCAGUCAUUGUAGCAAAUAUUAUUUAUGCCCAUGAUUCAUUGGAUCCCUAUUUGUAUAAGGAUAGUUUUGUUAUUAUUAACUCUUGUCGCAUCCACUAAGAAAAGAUUAGCUAUUUAUGUUAGACAUUCUACUGAUAAAAUACAAUAAUUCAUAUG